rnacentral:rRNA from 1 species
GAUGAACGCUGGCGGCGUGCCUAAUACAUGCAAGUCGAGCGAACAGACGAGGAGCUUGCUCCUCUGACGUUAGCGGCGGACGGGUGAGUAACACGUGGAAAACCUACCUAUAAGACUGGGAUAACUUCGGGAAACCGGAGCUAAUACCGGAUAAUAUAUUGCACCGCAUGGUUCAAUAGUGAAAGACGGUUUUGCUGUCACUUAUAGAUGGAUCCGCGCCGCAUUAGCUAGUUGGUAAGGUAACGGCUUACCAAGGCAACGAUGCGUAGCCGACCUGAGAGGGUGAUCGGCCACACUGGAACUGAGACACGGUCCAGACUCCUACGGGAGGCAGCAGUAGGGAAUCUUCCGCAAUGGGCGAAAGCCUGACGGAGCAACGCCGCGUGAGUGAUGAAGGUCUUCGGAUCGUAAAACUCUGUUAUUAGGGAAGAACAAAUGUGUAAGUAACUAUGCACGUCUUGACGGUACCUAAUCAGAAAGCCACGGCUAACUACGUG